rnacentral:rRNA from 1 species
GACGGAGCCGUAGGGAAACCGAGUCUUAAUAGGGCGAUUUAGUAUCAUGUUGUAGACCCGAAACCAUGUGACCUACCCAUGAGCAGGUUGAAGGUGAGGUAAAACUCACUGGAGGACCGAACCAGGGCACGUUGAAAAGUGCUUGGAUGACUUGUGGGUAGCGGAGAAAUUCCAAACGAACUUGGAGAUAGCUGGUUCUCUCCGAAAUAGCUUUAGGGCUAGCGUCGAUGUUAAGUCUCUUGGAGGUAGAGCACUGUUUGGGUGAGGGGUCCAUCUCGGAUUACCAAUCUCAGAUAAACUCCGAAUGCCAACGAGAUAUCAUCGGCAGUCAGACUGCGAGUGCUAAGAUCCGUAGUCGAAAGGGAAACAGCCCAGACCACCAGCUAAGGUCCCAAAAUAACUGUUAAGUGGAAAAGGAUGUGGGGUUGCACAGACAACUAGGAUGUUAGCUUAGAAGCAGCUAUUCAUUCAAAGAGUGCGUAAUAGCUCACUAGUCGAGUGACCCUGCGCCGAAAAUGUACCGGGGCUAAAACAGUUUACCGAAGCUGUGGAUGACACAAAAGUGUCAUGGUAGGAGAGCGUUCUAUGUGUGAAGAAGGUGUACCGUGAGGAGCGCUGGAACGCAUAGAAGUGAGAAUGCCGGUAUGAGUAGCGCAAGACAGGUGAGAAUCCUGUCCACCGUAAGACUAAGGUUUCCAGGGGAAGGCUCGUCCGCCCUGGGUUAGUCGGGACCUAAGGAGAGACCGAAAGGUGUAUCCGAUGGCCAACAGGUUGAUAUUCCUGUACUAGAGUAUAUAGUGAUGGAGGGACGCAGUAGGCUAACUAAACCGGACGAUUGGAAGAGUCCGGCUAAGCAGUGAGGUGUAAGAUGAGUCAAAUGCUUAUCUUUAUAACAUUGAGCUGUGAUGGGGAGCGAAUUUUAGUAGCGAAGUUAGUGAUGUCACACUGCCAAGAAAAGCUUCUAGCGUUUAAUGAUACUCUACCCGUACCGCAAACCGACACAGGUAGUCGAGGCGAGUAGCCUCAGGUGAUCGAGAGAACUCUCGUUAAGGAACUCGGCAAAAUGACCCCGUAACUUCGGGAGAAGGGGUGCUGACUUAGGUCAGCCGCAGUGAAUAGGCCCAAGCAACUGUUUAUCAAAAACACAGCUCUCUGCUAAAUCGUAAGAUGAUGUAUAGGGGGUGACGCCUGCCCGGUGCUGGAAGGUUAAGAGGAGGGUUUAGCGCAAGCGAGGAUCGGAAUUGAAGCCCCAGUAAACGGCGGCCGUAACUAUAACGGUCCUAAGGCCUGCCUCUUAUACACAUCUCCGAGCCCACGAGACUCAAGGAUAA